rnacentral:lncRNA from 1 species
ACAAAGAAGACCCUCUGAGGAAAGACAAGUAAAACAUAAUCCAUAAUAAUGUCAACCAUUUGGAGAAGGUAGUUCAAUAAGAAGAUCUGAAGAUAGUUAAAGCACAUGAGGAACACCACCACCAACAAAGUAUAUUUCUUUUAUAGGAUGAUUAGCGAAGUGGGAUUAUACAAGAGGGGUUGCUCUGAUGGUAAGCAAUCCGCACUUCCAAUCGAAAGUUGUGAGUUCGAGUCUCCCCAAGAGCAAGGUGGGAAGUUCUUGGAGGGAAGGAUGCCGGGAGUUUAUUUGGAAACAGCCUCUCUACCCCGGGGUAGGGGUAAGAUCUGUGUAUACACUACCCUCCUCAGACCCCAAUAAAUGAAAGUAUACUGGGUUGUUGUUGUUGAUGAUUAGCGAAAGCCAUCUCUUUCCCUAGCGCUAUCAAAUUUACUAUUAUGUUAACAUGUGUCAAUGUGCUAUUACCAACAAAAAUGUUCAUCACAGUAAUCUAAUUUUCCCUCAGUCUUGGAAAUGGGUGCAUUCUAAAGCUUGGCCGUAAGUUUUCUCGAAAUAAAUUUGAGAUUUAUUUUCAAAAGUCGUGUUUAGUCAUAAAUUUUGCUUAUAUUUUGG